rnacentral:misc_RNA from 1 species
UUUCCGUAGGUGAACCUGCGGAAGGAUCAUUAUUGAAUGAAACACUUCUGGCUUUAUGCUGUUGUGCUGGCCCUUUGGGCAAUGUGCACACGGCUCUGGUCACUUGUUUCUUCUGUUCCACCUGUGCACUGCCUGUAGACACGCUGUGUCUAUGAUAUUUGUUAACACACAACAAUAUUAGUUGGCAUGUUAUAUAUAAUAAUAAAAUAUACAACUUUCAACAACGGAUCUCUUGGCUCUC